rnacentral:sRNA from 1 species
UUCUUCUCCUCUCCGCUGCUCUCCUUAAACCUCUCCACGUGGAACCAUGUUGGUUUUGAGUGCUUUGUCUGGGCGCAGGCCAAGAAUUAAACAGCACCACCCUGCCCUCAUCUCCUUCAGUAAUGGACUGUGAUGGGAAGCUGUAAGCCCAAGCAAUGCCCUUCCUCCCCAUGUUGAUUUGGGCUUGGUGUGUUAUCACAGCAACAGAAAUCCUGACUAAGACACAAGUAGGAUUGGGAAGAUGAACUUUUUGAGGAAAUCUCGUAACAGAUUUAAUCUUCGUUCCACAGAAAUUCCUGCCCUGCAGAGGUUAGAAACCAAUCAAUAUACCAACCAGGAUAGAUCAAGAGGAAGGGAAGCACCAGUGAGCCUGCCUACAACCUUUCCCACAGGAAGCUUCCAAGCAGAGGAACCCGAGCUGGUAGGGGAGCGAAUAAAAACUUCAAUCCAGACAGCCUGGACUAAGACCUUCAUUGGGAUGCUGUUUCUUUUCUAAAAUGAACUCAGAUAGGUUCCUUUAUUAUGUCAGAAUAAUCAGAAAAGCCAUUUUUGAAGGAAGGAAAAGCGGUUACAUUUGUACUAAAACACAUUCAUUCUUUGGAAACCCUGGUUACAUACUCAGUCAUAGAAGUAGGAAUUUUUUUCCCCCUGUAUGUAAUGGAAAAGCAAACGGUGCUCUCUGCCAUCUCCAUCCCUUUUGGCAAACUCUGGACGUAAAGCAGUUUGCUCGAGACUGUCCACGUCCUUGACUCAUCUGUGGUAUCUCGUUUCUCCAACCGUCCAUGACAGGUACUUAAUUACACAGGAUGGCUGGGGUUUCUUUGUCCGUCAGAAAAUACCAUGAAUAAUGUAUUCCUCCUUCCACUAAUGGGCACAUGCCCAGGGAGAUGAAUUUGAUUCUCCACAGGUAGGAAAGGCUUCCAAAGGUUUUCAUCAUGAGACAAUGAGGCAGGACAGUACUGGCAACCCUGCAUGUAACAUGCCUAGGCAGAGCCCAUGUCUAAUUAUGAACAGCACCGGUCAGCUCAUUUUAAACUCUUGGGCCACUGCCUGCUGAAGGUCAGUGGGACGGGUGAUUUCUCUUACUUCAGGCAAUAAUGCCAUGGUGCAUUUGCAGGGAUGAGCCAGAGGAGCCAAAGUGGACUCGCUUAGUGACCCUCGGUGUUUGGACAGGCGCAGCCAGAGGUCUGAAAUGCUGACUUUUAUUGAAGAAGAUAGUUUGAUUGGUUUUAGCUCUGUUUUCUGAGCCACGAGCUCUGAUUAAGUAUCACUGCUUUCUGCUGCUCACAAGGAUGCCACAGUGUGCCUGUGACGACACAAGACUAUGAGAUCAACAGGGAACAGAAGGAAGGACAGUGACAGAAAAGUUCUCGAGGUCAAAGCCUCCCAUUGUUUGUGGUGAGAACAGGAAUGGGAUCGAUUGAGCCAGGCUUCCAGAAGCAGCUGCAAGGACAGCAGGAAAUCUAAGCCAGAGGAGAAGGGGAGCAAGAAGAGGCGCCCUUGCCUUUGGAUGGAGAGGUGCCCAGGAGUGUGCGAUGGGUGUGUAUUCUACUCCAUGAUAUGGAAGCGAUCCAAGGAAAACUGAUCUUUCUUCCAACAACAACUAGAAAAAAAAAAAAAUGAAGCUUCCCGGUGAUGGAUGUGUCCUGUAUGUCCAAAGACCAGUCCUGAAACAAUUCCUCAGAUCGUGUUUCCUUACGACCUCACCCUGCUCUAUUACAAGUCAACCAUUUCCCUUAAGCGUCACACUAGUCCAAGUUUUCUAAAUCCUUUAAUUUCCCUUCAAAGUCUGUUCCAACUUAUUAUUCGCCGGCCUUAAAGUCAUGUGAUGAAUUCACUACAGGACCACAGUGUUAUGUUCUUGGAAGCAUUUCAUGUUCCUGCCUCAAUUUCUGUCUCCUCUUAACCACACUGCUUGACUGUGCUCCGUGCUUUCUGGAGUAGAAAGAAUGCAUCUAGUAAUCAAGCUGAUGGGUGCCACUGAGCCUUUCCAAAGACUGUCAUGCUCAGUGCAAGGAAAACAGCAGUGAUGAACAUGCCAGGGAGAAAAUGUCUUGGAAUGUGGCAUAGGACAGACAUCUCACAAGUGUGCCCAUUUCCAGCUCCAAAAAUAUUUACAUUACAAUUCAUAACAGCAAAAUCACAGUUACGAAGGAGCAGUGAAAAUA